rnacentral:rRNA from 1 species
UGCCUACGGGUGGCUGCAGUCGAGAAUCUUCGGCAAUGGGCGCAAGCCUGACCGAGCGACGCUGCGUGCGGGAUGACGGCCCUUGGGUUGUAAACCGCUGUCAGAGGGGAUGAAAGCGAAAGCUUGACAGAGCCUCAGAGGAAGCGCGGGCUAAGUUCGUGCCAGCAGCCGCGGUAAUACGAACUGCGCAAACGUUAUUCGGAAUCACUGGGCUUACAGGGUGCGUAGGCGGCCCGCCAGGUCCGAUGUGAAAUCCCCCAGCUCAACUGGGGAAUGGCAUUGGAAACCGGCGGGCUCGAGCGAGCUAGAGAUGCACGGAACUUCCGGUGGAGCGGUGAAAUGUGUUGAGAUCGGAAGGAACACCAGAGGCGAAAGCGGUGCAUUGGGGCUUGUCUGACGCUGAGGCACGAAAGCCAGGGGAGCGAACGGGAUUAGAUACCCGAGUAGUCC